rnacentral:misc_RNA from 1 species
UCACGAACAACUAACAAACAGUAAGUCUGUGAUAUAAAGAACCAAUUUUUUUUUUUUUUUU